CCUACAAAGUUUUGUACAAUGCAGAACAAGAAAUGCUACAGGGAUUGUGCUCCACCUUUCUCCUUCCUGCUGGGAUAUCCUUUCUGUAGAGAAAUGUAAAGGGAUAUUACCUUGCAGUGAUUUGUAUUGUCAGCCUUCUGAGGUCUGGAGAAAAAGCAGGUAUUUGCUAUUUGAGUCACUUCAAGCAAGACUUACACUGUCAUCUGUCUGGAGAUGACAAGGAGUCACCAGUCUGUGAGAUGAGGAUGGGAUUCUUCCAGGGUAUAGAAGAGAAAAAGUAACAAAGG